GAUAGUGAUAUUAUUUAUUGAAAUAAUUAUAUUUCCUUAUAGACGAAAUGGUGGUGGGCGCUCCCAUGCAAGAUGGGCUUUGCAAUGAAAGGGGCUUAUGCGAUAUAAUCGGAGAGGAGGCCGGAGAGGAGAAAAGCCUGGAAGAAAAUGGAGGAGGAAGAAGCCGGGGAAGAAAUAGAAAA